rnacentral:sRNA from 1 species
UGUUCCCACUAGUAGAUCUACAUGUAUUAUAGGUGUUCCCACUAGUAGAUCUACAUGUAUUAUAGGUGUUCCCACUAGUAGAUCUACAUGUAUUAUAGGUGUUCCCACU